UUUUAAAAAAGUUUAAAGCAAAAAGAAAGUCCAAGACAAGGAAGCAACUGUCAAUGUUACUUCAAAUCCCACAUGUGAUGUCCAUAGUCAUUGAACUCGUGGCUAAUAUCCUUCUUCACCGAUUUUUCCACGCUUGAGAGAACAUUUGAUUCACUCUCGAGUGAUUUUUCAGCGACAUCUUUCACAGUAUUUAUACUUUCGCUAA
rnacentral:ribozyme from 1 species